ACAGCAGCACAACAACAGUAAAAGAUGAGAUUUGUCAUUUAAUGCUGUGUUUAAUGCUUUGUGUUGGCAGUUGGUCAGUGAAGAGACAAUGAUUCAACUUUUCAGUCAGCUAGAGAAAGUUCAUUUGUCCACCUUAGGGCCAUGUUCAGAGCUUAAUGCAAUAUGAGGAGAGAACAUGAGGUGGUGUGAUGUUUCAGUGAACUCCUGAGUUACAAGUUUAAACAGCAGAGUGACUAAGAACUUACUCAUGUAAAAAUCUUCAAUCAAAUAGUUGUUCUUUAACUCUAACAAGUUAUUGAACUGUGUUCAUUGUAGUGUGAAAGAGGUUUUUGUACAAUGGCUUCAUAGGAAUGUAUCGCUGUGGUACACUUUUGGUGGAGGAACCAAACUCAUUAUGAAAACUGGUCCGAUGGUGAAGCCCUCCGUGUCUCUGCUCCCUCCCUCCUCUCUGCAGCGCUCUGAGGGAACGGCCUCACUGCUCUGCCUGCUCUCGGCCUAUUCUCCACAGGGGGCGCUGCUGAGCUGGACCGUGGAUGGUGCUGAGGUAAAUGAAGGGGUUCUGACCAGCACAGAAGAACAGAAGAACGGCGUCUACAGCCGCAGCAGCACCCUGACCCUCAGCAAAGAACGCUGGGAGGAGGCUGAGGUGUUCGGCUGUACCGUCUCCCACCACGACACCACUCAGGUCGCCUCGUUCCGAAAGAGCCGCUGUGAGGUCCACUAGAAUUCAAGUGUACGCUUUAAACCAUGCUUAGCAGUCUGAGGUGAUGUCAGUGGUGUAGCUCUGCUGAAAUAAAGCUUCAAUGUGGAAAGCAGGUCUCCUUUUUCAUUAGUGAAGUGUCU